UACCGGCAGCUCGAGUGAUGGCCAAUAUUAUUGGGCCUAAAGCGUCCGUAGCUGGCCGAACAGGUCUGUCGGGAAAUCCGCUCGCUCAACGAGCGGACGUCCGGCGGAAACCAGUCGGCUUGGGACCGGAAGACCCGAGGGGUACGUCCGGGGUAGGAGUGAAAUCCUGUAAUCCUGGACGGACCACCGGUGGCGAAAGCGCCUCGGGAGGACGGAUCCGACAGUGAGGGACGAAAGCUUGGGUCACGAACCGGAUUAGAUACCCGGGUAGUCCAAGCUGUAAACGAUGCUCGCUAGGUGUGGCACUGGCUACGAGCCAGUGCUGUGCCGUAGGGAAGCCGAGAAGCGAGCCGCCUGGGAAGUACGUCCGCAAGGAUGAAACUUAAAGGAAUUGGCGGGGGAGCACGGGGCGGGGGCGGCGGGCCGGGCGCGGGGCGCGGCGGGC
rnacentral:rRNA from 1 species